AUAUCAUUAAGCGGAGGAAAAGAAACUAACAAGGAUUCCCCUAGUAACGGCGAGUGAAGCGGGAAAAGCUCAAAUUUGAAAGCUUGCAGCAAUGCACGCGUUGUAAUCUCGAGAAGUGUUUUCCGUGCUGGACCAUGGACAAGUUCCUUGGAAUAGGAUGUCAUAGAGGGUGAGAACCCCGUCUUUGCCAUGGACGCCCAGUGCUUUGUGAUACACUUUCAAAGAGUCGAGUUGUUUGGGAAUGCAGCUCAAAAUGGGUGGUAAAUUCCAUCUAAAGCUAAAUAUUGGGGAGAGACCGAUAGCGCACAAGUA
rnacentral:rRNA from 1 species